CCUACGGGAGGCAGCAGUGAGGAAUAUUGGUCAAUGGGCGCGAGCCUGAACCAGCCAAGUAGCGUGAAGGAUGACUGCCCUACGGGUUGUAAACUUCUUUUAUAAAGGAAUAAAGUGAGGCACGUGUGCCUUUUUGUAUGUACUUUAUGAAUAAGGAUCGGCUAACUCCGUGCCAGCAGCCGCGGUAAUACGGAGGAUCCGAGCGUUAUCCGGAUUUAUUGGGUUUAAAGGGAGCGUAGAUGGGUUGUUAAGUCAGUUGUGAAAGUUUGCGGCUCAACCGUAAAAUUGCAAUUGAUACUGGCAGUCUUGAGUGGGCGAGAAGUAUGCGGAAUGCGUGGUGUAGCGGUGAAAUGCAUAGAUAUCACGCAGAACUCCGAUUGCGAAGGCAGCAUACCGGCGCCCAACUGACGCUGAAGCACGAAAGCGUGGGUAUCGAACAGGAUUAGAUACCCCUGUAGUC
rnacentral:rRNA from 1 species